CGUCACACCGCCUCACGCAUCUCACCCAAGUCAGCCACUCGUCCCUCACCCGGCCCCAACGCGCUGCUCCAGUAAUCGCCCUCAACGCAGGCAGAAAGUAAUCAACCUUUUAUUUUCAUUAUUCCCUACUAAAAAUCUCUGCUGUCUUUUGCGAAUUGCCUGAAUUUCCACUUGUUACACGCAGGAACUGACCGAGAAACUGAGCAGGAUGCACUGCAGGAAGGCAGCCAUCCCACACUGCCGGUCUUAGACAGUGGAACACAGGCAGCACCAACAACUGGCAUGCCAGGCAUGAAUGCCAGGAAAAGCACAGAGGCUGCUGUUCAGAAAUCUGUGCAGAAGCACCACAUCGCAGCCAUGGUAAUGUUCUCAGUUGUGCUGCUGUCUGCGCUGAUGCUGGCCUGUGGUGCUGUGAUAUGGAUGUGCAAAAAAUACCUGUGAGUUGGCUUUUCCCCAAAACACCCAAUUGCUGCAUUUGGCAAUGAAGUAUUUAUAGUGCCAGGAUCCCGGACGGCCAAAUCAGCUGCUGGCAGUACACUGCCAGGACUUAUGUUGCCAAGUCUUCCUAGUUUCCCCUUAUUUCGCUGUCAGGGAGUAGUCCUUUCUGAAACUCCUUUUCACAGAGUGUGCAAGAGAGAAGAGAGAGCAGCAGAACCAGCUCAUCCUGAUACCAACUAGGAGAGAGUUCCAACUGGAAAUGAGGGCAGAAUGGAGCUGGGAGAAGCAACAAAAGACUCUUGCCCCAUCAAACAAAAAUCUCAGCAAUAGUUCUGGUCCAUUCCAUUCUGCCAUCCAGGAGGCCAGAGGUCUUCAAAGUCAUCUAGAAGGCCUGGAGCGUGAACUCAGAGCCGUGAAAGAGGUCCUGGGAACAGUCCUGAGUGCUGCUUUCUGUCAGAGGACGUCCCCGAAAGUGAGAGUGGAGAAUCAGCAGCAGAGUUUUUGUCCUUCAUCCUGCACUCUCCAGGACAAGUAUCACCAAUAAUUUGAAGAUUCUUAGCUCGCCAUAGCUACAGUCCUUUUGAGGGUCCUCAUCCCAGAAGAAGUGAGCUUCCUCCGCCCCCGGACAAUACGUUAACAUCUUUGGAGACGUGGAUGAGAAUGGCUGGUUUCAGGGAGAGCUGACAGAUGGCACAAGAGGACUGGUCCCUUCCAGUUUGGUUGCAGAGGUUUCAGAUGAUGAACUGGAUACACCUCAAGAUCCUGUCAGAAUUCCUACAUCACUCCAUCUGCAAGACUACCCCCUGCUCCCCUUGAUGUUCAAGUGGAAUGUGUGCAGGAUGUGGAUGAGCUCUUACAAAACAAAACAGAAACAAAAACAAUCAAUUAAACACCCACAAUAAAACAGUCAAUCAAAC